ACACGGUUGUUUAGCCUGGGUAUACCGGGUAUACCCAUGCUGCCUUGCGCGUGAUUUCAUUUCGCACUGCUAGGCAGCCUGGAUCCCAUGGAUCCGAUUUUCGCCUGAGAUAGGGAACCAAUCACAGAACGGGGAGAGACGACAAGACGAUGACGACGUCUAUGCGACACACCAAAGUUUGUAGUUUACGGAUCCAAAAUGGCAGCGCGGACGCGUUACCUUUCGAUGCAGCGAUAUAUCUCUCUCUAUAGCUCUGGAUAUAUAUAUUAACUAGAUGACUCGUCCGCGGUGCUGGCCAAUGGAGUCGAACGUCACCACUGGCGGCCAUCCUUCCACAGGGAAGUGGCUCUUUCGUCGCCGCCAUGCGGUCAGCCGGCACGACGUUAGGAUGUGCGUUGCCACGCUGAGCAGCAUCAGGAAGAUGGUCAUCGACAUCACGAUCACAUAGUGGCUGAUGCUACCAACAGAAGAGGAAGCCACAGGGACACAGGCUAGUGAGAGCCCGCCCAUGAUGAAGGGGUUGAAGACGGUGAGGAAGCAGUACACAGACGCCGGGUCAAAGCUGGGCACAUAGAAGGAAGUGACAUCAUCUUCGUGUUAUCUUACAUGACGUACCCGAUGCAAAUUCUACAACCUUGUUUUCUCAUAAAGAUGUGUCACUCCUGUGCGUCACACACAGGCCGUGUGAGGCCGUCCAGCGAUUCACUUUGGCGUUUCACGUCUGAUCUUGUUGAUUGAUUGAAAUUGAUAAAAUAUGUUUCCAAAUAUGGCCGCAGCCUUUAUGUCUUUCAAAAC